rnacentral:rRNA from 1 species
CCGGCGCACGGGUGAGUAACACGUAUCCAACCUGCCGUCUACUCUUGGACAGCCUUCUGAAAGGAAGAUUAAUACAAGAUGGCAUCAUGAGUUCACAUGUUCACAUGAUUAAAGGUAUUCCGGUAGACGAUGGGGAUGCGUUCCAUUAGAUAGUAGGCGGGGUAACGGCCCACCUAGUCUUCGAUGGAUAGGGGUUCUGAGGGGAAGGUCCCCCACAUUGGAACUGAGACACGGUCCAA